rnacentral:lncRNA from 1 species
CCCCCCAAUCGACGCCCACUAAUCUGAUUGGUUGCUGCACACCUUCACUUGUUGAAGUUUGGGAGAGUCAGUUUGCAAAGAACUAUUACUCAAGAUGGAUACAGUUUUCAAUAGGCCAGGCUAUAGAAAUAUUAUCGAUGCAGUAUAUAACUCUACAGACCGUAAACAAAGAAGGUAACUUGUUUUAACAUUUUUAAUAUAUCUGAAUAUUUGUUAUCCACCCUUUUCAGUGUAUCUGCUAAUUCUAAUUCUCACAGCUACGUAGGCUGGAUAAGGCAGCUCAACAUCUUGCCUGGGACAAGAAUGCGUGCUUUCCAACAAUACAUAUUGAAAAAGGAUCGGAGGAGGAAAGCACAAAAGGGCCAACUGGACUUGAUAAGAAUAAAAAGGCAGCCGAGGGAAAGAGAGGAGAGAGCCCAACGGCAUGCUGGGAGAUACAAGGACCCACCUCCACACCUGAAAUGUAGCCGUCCAUGGUGGCCUCCAGUUCGGUUCCCCAAAGAGAAGAAACCGAUACCAGCUCCAACCGGAAGGUUGUCUCCCCCCCUACACCUGAAAUUCAGCCGUCCAUGUUGGCCCCCAGUUCUGAACAGACACCCCCCCCCCAAAGACAAGAAACUGAAGCCAGCUCCAUCUAGAAUCAACAAGGGGGUCAGGAGGAAAGAUAAAAAGGAGGAAAUCACAAAAGGCCUCCCCUUGACCAGGUACACAGAUUUGAGGAGGAGAAUUGCACAGGCUGGUCAUGGACCUGUGACGAAGAGGAGGUUUCCUGUUGCUUUCCCCUGCAAGGUAUGUGGCAAGCCUAAAAGAAAAGAAUUUGCCCACAGCCAGUACAGGGGAGAGCACUUCUGUGAGGCAGCAGGAGGAGGCAAAACUGCUGUGGAGUGGUUGGAGGAGAAGAGAGGGCCUGAGCCUCGGGUGCCAAGGACCACAGGAGGCGAAGGAAGGAGUUGGAGGAUCGUCG